rnacentral:rRNA from 1 species
GUCUUUUAGAUUAUAAUUUAAAGUCUAAUCUGCUCAAUGAUAAUAUUAAAUAGCUGCGGUAAAUUGACCGUACAAAGGUAGCAUAAUCAAUAGUUUUUUAAUUGAAAGCUGGAAUGAAUGAUUUGAUGAAAUAUAAACUGUCUCAAUUUUAAUAAUUAAAAUUUUUUUUUUAGUUAAAAAACUAAAUUGAUUUAAAAAGACGAGAAGACCCUAUAGAUUUUUAUAAAAUAUUUUAUAUAAAUAAAUAAAUUAUUUUAUUUUAUUUAAUUUAUUUUAUUUGAUUGGGGUGAUUUUUAAAUUAAUUUAACUUUAAAAUUUUUAAACAAUAAUUUUUGAUUAUUUGAUUUUUGUAUUAAAAUUAAAAGAUUAAAAUACCUUAGGGAUAACAGCGUAAUUUUUUUGGAAAGAUCAUAUUGAUAAAAAAGUUUGC